UUUCCGUAGGUGAACCUGCGGAAGGAUCAUUAUUGAAUGAAACACUUCUGGCUUUAUGCUGUUGUGCUGGCCCUUUGGGCAAUGUGCACACGGCUCUGGUCACUUGUUUCUUCUGUUCCACCUGUGCACUGCCUGUAGACACGCUGUGUCUAUGAUAUUCGUUAACACACAACAAUGUUAGUUGGCAUGUUAUAUAUAAUAAUAAAAUAUACAACUUUCAACAACGGAUCUCUUGGCUCUCGCAUCGUGAAGAACGCAGC
rnacentral:misc_RNA from 1 species